rnacentral:misc_RNA from 1 species
GAAAUGCGAUAAGUAAUGUGAAUUGCAGAAUUCAGUGAAUCAUCGAAUCUUUGAACGCACCUUGCGCUCCCUGGUAUUCCGAGGAGCAUGCCUGUUUGAGUGUCAUUAAAUUCUCAACCUCACCAACUUUGUUGUGUGAAGGCUUGGAUGUGGGGGUUGCAGGUCCACUCUCGUGGUCUGCUCCUCUGAAAUGUAUUAGUGGGUUGUUCCCCUAAUCUAUUGGUGUGAUAAUUAUCUACGCCGUGGAUUGGGUUGGUUACUUUAAGACCUGCUUCUAACCGUCCCUCGCUUGGACAACUUUGACAAUUUUGACCUCAAAUCAGGUAAGACUACCCGCUGAACUUAA